GCGUUAUCCGGAAUUAUUGGGUUUAAAGGGUGCGUAGGCGGCCNGAUAAGUCAGGGGUGAAAGUCNGCAGCUCAACUGUCGCAGUGCCUUUGAUACUGUUUGGCUUGAAUUCGGUUGAAGAUGGCGGAAUGANACANGUAGCGGUGAAAUGCAUAGAUAUGUCUCAGAACCCCGAUUGCGAAGGCAGCUAUCUNAGCCGUUAUUGACGCUGAUGCACGAAAGCGUGGGUAGCAAACAGGAUUAGAUACCCUGGUAGUCCACGCCCUAAACGAUGAUAACUCGAUGUUGGCGAUAUACAGUCAGCGUCUUAGCGAAAGCGUUAAGUUAUCCACCUGGGGAGUACGCCGGCAACGGUG
rnacentral:rRNA from 1 species